GUGAGGAAUUUUGCGCAAUGGGGGAAACCCUGACGCAGCAACGCCGCGUGAGUGAUGAAGGUUUUCGGAUCGUAAAGCUCUGUCAAGUGGGAAGAAGUUAUCGUAUAUAAAUAGUGUAUGGUAUUGACGGUACCACUGAAGGAAGCACCGGCUAACUCCGUGCCAGCAGCCGCGGUAAUACGGAGGGUGCAAGCGUUAUUCGGAUUUACUGGGCGUAAAGGGCGCGUAGGCGGUCAGAUAAGUCAGAUGUGAAAGCCCGGGGCUCAACCCCGGAAGUGCAUUUGAAACUGUCUGGCUUGAGUAUGGUAGAGGGAAGUGGAAUUCCUGGUGUAGCGGUGAAAUGCGUAGAUAUCAGGAGGAACACCGGUGGCGAAGGCGACUUCCUGGACCAAUACUGACGCUGAGGCGCGAAGGUGUGGGGAGCA
rnacentral:rRNA from 1 species